AUGGAGUCCUGCGACGAGCUCGCCAGGGAGAGCGACGACCUACGCAAGCGCCUCAGGGACGCUCCCGACGACACUUACUGAACAAGUGCAAGCGCUGCAGAAGGACAAGGAGAUACUCAAGACCAACCUAAAAAAAGCAGAGGAGGUUAAGUUAUUCGAGGAGAAAAGAGUUGUUGACGAAGCCAACAAGAGGCUGCUGUGCUUACUGGAGAAGGAGCAGAAACAUCAGUCCGAAAGGAAGCACUCCGCCAGCAAUUCCACCAAGAAGCGCAAGUCGUCGAGCCUGAAGGACACGAGCCCGGUCGGCCUGGCCAUCGAUUUCAACAACACAGACGCAUGCAGCCAAACUCCCCAGACUGCAGGGUGCACAAGAAGUGAACCCAGCCGGCCGUCCUGACAUUCUCUUCUGGAUAGCUUGAACUGAAGUGAACUGAACAAUCCACCCUUAUGCAUCUGGGCUGCUUGCCUCAUCUGACUAACUUGUUGGGUUAAUUUGGUUGGUUCUUGUUGGUAGAACCUCGGUCAUGUAGCCUGCAUUUUCCAUUUUCCUCUUCCUGUUGGUAGCUGCCUAUGCCUAUCAUGAUCCUUUCAUGAGAAUAUGUAUUAACUUUGGUAGACAAGCAUGGAAAUAUGUAUUAACUUUCCUGAAAAUUGAGUUUUUCUUAACUAAUCAAGAACUCCCCUCAUUAUGUGAAACACCUAUGCAUAUGACUAAUUCUGCACGGCAAUUCUGUUCAAUUCUGAUUUCUUUGGUAUUCAAUUAUGUUCAAUUGUGAAAUACCUAUGCAUAUGACUGUGAAAGAAUGUCUACAUCAGUACAACUUUGCAUGCAUAUUUUAUUGACUAGAUAUAUACGUGUUGACUGUUUGUUUGUUCCUAUGUACUGCAUAUUGUGUAAUGGAGUUUGCUUGUAUGGUGUUUGUGAAAAUGUUUGUAUGAAAAUAAUUCACAUUGGUGACAGCGUACAUGGCCAUUAGAAAUGCGGAAGCGUACAGCGGCCGCGGCCGCCCAUGCCUUGCUUCUCUUGGUCUCUGUGUACCCUGCUUGCAUACUGUCUGUUUGUGAUUUGUUCUAGCAAGUAUCUAUUCAUGAGAAAUAAGCUCUCCAGGAUUCACUGGACCAACAACUACUUGUUCUAGCAUGUUUAUUUCAAGAAAUUUGUGAUUCAUGCUGUUUGAUGAACCAGUACCCAUGUCGGGAGACUAGUAGAACUUGCAAACUUCAGUUUUCUCACCAAUAGUCACUUAUCCUGCUGUUCAUGUCCAUAUAGCAUUUGUAUUGGUUCUAUGUUACAGCUCCUGCAAACAAUUUAUUAAUGUGGGAUGUGGCUCUAUGUUCAGUUCCUCUUCUAAAGAAAUCCCCUCUGCCUCUGGUGUGCUGCAAGUUGAUUGUUCUGUCUCUAUUAUUGUGCAGAUUGGCCAAGUGUUCGUUGAUCUGCAAGCCGGUUUAAGAGCUGGAUUGGCCAGUCCAAUUCAACACGGAGCUGAGUGUAUGUUGAAAUGUUUCUUCCAUCAAGCGCUGCCUCGCCGCCUCCGGCCGCCCCGACGACGCCCUUGCCUUUGCCAACCUCCACUCCUCCAUGAGGUGAUUUGUUUCUUGGAAUUUGGAAGAGGAAGACGAUGAAGCGUGGUUGUUAUCUAUCAAUAUGCCUUGUGUUCUGGUUGUACUUCAUAGCUAGUUACAUUGUAUUAUGUACUGGUCUGGUUGUAUGAACACUAUGUAAAGAUUGUAAUAGGCUAAUUUUGGCUAUCAUUUCAAGUAUAUAGUUCUGUUUCAUUUGAAA